rfam:Populus trichocarpa scaffold_7_contig_57, whole genome shotgun sequence.
CUGAGAAGAGUCUGUCAGCUAGUCAAGGUGCUUCCCCAAAACCAAACAAAAGGUGCUAAGUAAUACACUGGAACCAGCUAAGACGAUGACGGGCAAGUCUUCCUUGGCUGCCAAACAUGAUCUUAUCU